GACGUAGGGCGCGAGCGUUGUCCGGAUUUAUUGGGCGUAAAGAGCUCGUAGGCGGCUUGUCGCGUCGACUGUGAAAACCCGCGGCUCAACCGUGUGGUCUGCAGUCGAUACGGGCAGGCUAGAGUUCGGUAGGGGAGACCGGAAUUCCUGGUGUAGCGGUGAAAUGCGCAGAUAUCAGGAGGAACAUCGGUGGCGAAGGCGGUUCUCUGGGCCUUACCUGACGCUGAGGAGCGAAAGCGUGGGGAGCGAACAGG
rnacentral:rRNA from 1 species